ACACUCCUGCGGGAGGCAGCAGUGGGGAAUAUUGCACAAUGGGCGCAAGCCUGAUGCAGCCAUGCCGCGUGUAUGAAGAAGGCCUUCGGGUUGUAAAGUACUUUCAGCGGGGAGGAAGGCGAUAAGGUUAAUAACCUUGUUGAUUGACGUUACCCGCAGAAGAAGCACCGGCUAACUCCGUGCCAGCAGCCGCGGUAAUACGGAGGGUGCAAGCGAUAAUCGGAAUUACUGGGCGUAAAGCGCACGCAGGCGGUCUGUCAAGUCGGAUGUGAAAUCCCCGGGCUCAACCUGGGAACUGCAUUCGAAACUGGCAGGCUAGAGUCUUGUAGAGGGGGGUAGAAUUCCAGGUGUAGCGGUGAAAUGCGUAGAGAUCUGGAGGAAUACCGGUGGCGAAGGCGGCCCCCUGGACAAAGACUGACGCUCAGGUGCGAAAGCGUGGGGAGCAAACAGGAUUAGAAACCCUGGUAGUCCCAUGAU
rnacentral:rRNA from 1 species